rnacentral:rRNA from 1 species
UACGAAGGGGGCUAGCGUUGCUCGGAAUCACUGGGCGUAAAGGGUGCGUAGGCGGGUCUUUAAGUCAGGGGUGAAAUCCUGGAGCUCAACUCCCAGAACUGCCUUUGAUACUGAAGAUCUUGAGUUCGGGAGAGGUGAGUGGAACUGCGAGUGUAGAGGUGAAAUUCGUAGAUAUUCGCAAGAACACCAGUGGCGAAGGCGGCUCACUGGCCCGUUACUGACGCUGAGGCUCGAAAGCGUGGGGAGCAAACAGGG